rnacentral:rRNA from 1 species
GACGAACGCUGGCGGCGUGCUUAACACAUGCAAGUCGAGCGGUAAGGCCCUUUCGGGGUACGACGAGCGGCGAACGGGUAGGAGUAACACGUGGGUGGACCUCGCCCUCCAGCUCUGGGAGUAAGCCUCGGGAAACCGGGGUACGUAAUAACUGGAUAUGACUCCAUGACGCAUGUUGUGGGGUGGAAAGCCUUGUGCGGCUGAGGAGUGGCCCGGCCGGCCUAUCAGCUUGUUGGUGGGGUGGAUGGCCUACCAAGG